CCAGACUCCUACGGGAGGCAGCAGUGAGGAAUAUUGGUCAAUGGCCGAGAGGCUGAACCAGCCAAGUCGCGUGAGGGAGGACGGCCCUACGGGUUGUAAACCUCUUUUGUCAGGGAGCAAGGGACAGGUCGUGACCUGUUGUGAGAGUACCUGAAGAAAAAGCAUCGGCUAACUCCGUGCCAGCAGCCGCGGUAAUACGGAGGAUGCGAGCGUUAUCCGGAUUUAUUGGGUUUAAAGGGUGCGUAGGCGGAAGGUUAAGUCAGCGGUCAAAUGUCGGUGCUCAACACCGGCCUGCCGUUGAAACUGGUCUUCUUGAGUGAGCGAGAAGUAUGCGGAAUGCGUGGUGUAGCGGUGAAAUGCAUAGAUAUCACGCAGAACUCCGAUUGCGAAGGCAGCAUACCGGCGCUCAACUGACGCUGAGGCACGAAAGCGUGGGGAUCGAACAGGAUUAGAUACCCGUGUAC
rnacentral:rRNA from 1 species